rnacentral:lncRNA from 1 species
AAGAUCCUGUCUCAACCAAACAGUGUAGCCUGUCUUCCUACCACACUGUGCCCGAGCCUCUCCGAACAGGCAGAACCAGCUUCAGCUGGCCUGUCCACAGCCUUCUCCAGCCGCACCCCACCUCCCCCCAACUCACUUGGGACUGGAUCCACCCUGAGGAGCCUCGGGUCAACAUCCUGUUUCCGGCAAGCCCUCCUGGAGGCCACACAGAGGGGUGUUUGUUCGUAGUGGGCGACGGGAGAGAUGCUAAUCACGUUGGAUAGCUGGUCCCAGCUGAAGGUCAGGAGGAUCCAUCAUUUACCUACCAAGAUAACUACCUUACUUACCAUAAACGUGAACGAUGCAGGCGGCUAGAGGGCUCGCUCGGUAGCUAAAAGUGAUUGCUACACAGGGGCAGCAAUCUGAAUUCAGUCCCCAGGAGCCAUGGAAAGCAGGAAGGAGAUGACCAGCUGCGUGGUUAGCUUCUGACUUCCCCACACGUGCUGUGACCCACACCCACACCAAUAAAUAUAUUUCUACUUUAUGCGUA